GCCACGGCUACUACGUGCCAGCAGCCGCGGUAAUACGUAGGUGGCGAGCGUUAUCCGGAUUUACUGGGUGUAAAGGGCGUGUAGGCGGUCUUUCAAGUCGGAAGUGAAAAUUCAUGGCUCAACUGUGAACUUGCUUACGAAACUGGAGGACUUGAGUACUAGAGGGGAAGGCGGAAUUUCUAGUGUAGCGGUGAAAUGCGCAGAUAUUAGGAAGAAUACCAGAGGCGAAAGCGACUUUCUAGCGAUGAUCUGACGCUGAGGUACGAAAGCGUGGGAAGCAAACAGGAUUAGAUACCCUGGUAGUCCACGCCGUAAACGAUGAGUGUUAGAUGUCCGAGGUAAACUUGGGUGUCGGAAGCCAACGCGAUAAACACUCCGCCUGGGGAGUACGCACGCA
rnacentral:rRNA from 1 species